CGCAGCGAAAUGCGAUACGCAUUGUGAAUUGCAGAUUUCAGUGAACCAUUAGAUCUCCGAACGCAUAUGGCGCUGUAGGGACUUCCCUGCAGCACGUCUGUUUCAGUGUCUUU
rnacentral:rRNA from 1 species